AAGAGACAGCAGUAGCCGCGGGAAUACAGAGGGUGCGAGCGUUAAUCGGAUUUACUGGGCGUAAAGCGUGCGUAGGCGGCUAAUUGAGUCGGAUGUGAAAUCCCCGAGCUUAACUUGGGAAUUGCAUUCGAUACUGGUUAGCUAGAGUGUGGGAGAGGAUGGUAGAAUUCCAGGUGUAGCGGUGAAAUGCGUAGAGAUCUGGAGGAAUACCGAUGGCGAAGGCAGCCAUCUGGCCUAACACUGACGCUGAGGUACGAAAGCAUGGGGAGCAAACAGGAUUAGAUACCCGUGUAGUCCCUGUCUCUUAUAC
rnacentral:rRNA from 1 species